rnacentral:sRNA from 1 species
UCUGGAGAGGGUCUUCCCCUGCCU